UCACACAGCCGUACCCGUGCUUGUGGAGUGAAUCGAAGAUGGCCGCGUCGACGUUGAGUUUGAUGCCUGAGACCGGUUUAACCCACUGCUCUGUACCGUCUCCAACUUUGAAAGGAGACAUCGAGGGAAUAUUACCCUUUCCUUGAGCAUUCAACCAUUGAUCAAGACUCGAUUUCGCAAACGUUACCACAUCUUUCACACUUCUCACACGGUUCUUCCAUACAAGGUCAUUCCUGGCUGCCCAAAUGGCCCAACAGAGCAUUACUACUCUGCCCAACUCCUCUUUGUCAACUCGUCUUGCAGUAGCUUCCAACCACACCAGCAGGGAAGAAAAUAAAUCCCUUCCAACCGCAGCCAAACCAGCAUACCCGAAACAAGACCAAGCAAAAUGACAAGAAACCAAUACAUGCCAUUCCGUUUCAGCAAAAACACCACAAAAAGGACAAGAGCUAUCAACCAGUACCUAAAAAAAUAAAAGAGUGUGAAACACUUGGGAGAUUGAGUGUUGUUUCAAGAUACCUAAAGAGGGUAAAAAUAAAAGAGACAAUAUAAAAAAUGUAUAGAGCUCGAUUAAAUGAGUGAAACUUAGGGAUUAGAAAGAGUGUGAAACACUUGGGAGAUUGAGUGUUGUUUCGUUGAUGCUCGACUCUGUUGUAUUUUGAAGAUUGUUUGAAUAAAUAAAGAGAAAGAUAUGUGGUUCCGAAACGAGAAUAGGGACAAAGCUGACAUCGAACAUGUAUAAAUACUUUAUUUAUUUUCGGUUCCUUAAUUGUUUGAUUAAUGUUUUUUAACUUCUGCUUUAAUUGUGUUCGUUUAAGUGUUGUAGUUGAAUUUUGAUAUUGAUGCUACUUGUAUAUAAAAUUUCUGCAGAUAAGUGGAAAUUUCAUACAAAAGAAAUUUCAUGCACUAAAUGAAUGUGAAAAACAUCACGUAGAGUUGAUGAGAUUGUCAUGAAAAAAUUGUUUGAUAUCAUAGGCUCAUAGCAAUAAUCAUUAACAUAACAAAAAUGCAAUGAUAAGAGUAAAACUGUGGAAGGAAUAUCAGAAUUUUUGAUAGAUCAAUGAACGUAACAAAAAAUAAUUUCAAUAAGACUGAUAAAUUGUUUCCAUGUUUUGAAAUAUUUUAUUAAAUCUUUAAGGGAAAUUUAAUUUUAUAUAAAAUUGAUUAUCUAAAUUAAAGUUAGUGUGUAUGGUAUUGUGAGCCACUUUUACAAUACAUCCUCAAAGUACCCUUCUCAUUUAAAAAACCCAAAAACAAAUCUCGAGCGCUCGUUCUCACCCAACGAACCACCAAAGACCACCCCAAAAUUUCACCAAUGGCACCACCAAUUCAAAUCGAAAUCUUGCCCACGAUCGAGACCAACUCACACGAAGGUUUUCAACUUCCCACGUCCAAGACCCACGAAGAUUAGUGACGGAGACCCAGAGACCCUCGAUGAUAGCGUCGAUUGCCUAAUUAGAGACCUAGAGACCCGCAACCCACGUCGGAGACCCACUUGGGAUUGGCCUUUAGAGAUUCAUGAUUUAGAAACCUAAUAGCGAACCAGAGAUGAUUUGAAGAAGGAAAUGAGAGGUCUACCCAAAAAUAUCUAAGGGAUGAAGUUUUUAAGUAAUUUUUUGCAUAAUCUUAGUUGAAAAUAGUAUUGUGUACUUUCAUAUGUUAGAUUAGGUUUGUUUUAGCACAAGAAAAAUUGAAUAUGUGAUAAUAGUGGUGAAUUUUGUGUUUCUGUGAUUUUUUUUUGGGUUUUGUAUUGGUACGAUGGUGUCCAAUAUAGGAACAAUAUAGGUUCGAUAGUCUCAUAUUUAGAAAAUCAAUCACAUGUUAGGCAUGAUUGGAUGAUAGGGUACGAUGUAAGUUAGACAAGGGUAUGAUUAUUGUUCCAAGUUUAAAACGAUAGUUUGAUAUAUGGUACAAUGUGGGUCCGAUAAUAUUUUAUGUUUCAUUUUUGGUACAGGCACGAUAGGGCACGACAUUGUGUCCAAUAGCCGUAUUUUUUUUAGUUUUUGAUUUAUAAUUAUGGGACAAUAUAGGUUUGAUUGUUGGUUUGAUGGUUUUGCCCAAUUUUAAUAAUUUGUUCAUUGUCAUUUGUGUCCGAUAGUAGUAUGAUAUGAGGAAGAUAUUUUCUUGGUACUUUUAUUCAGAAUGUUUAACUUGUAUUUUUUAAAAUUUUCUUUGCAAAACGUAAGACCUCCAAAGCUUUUAGUUUUAGUGUUAGACCAUUACUCGAGAUAUAUCACUUGAGGGUGGAAAUUUUUACUAUUCAAAGAUAAAAGAUAAAUUUAAGGACUGCGAUUUAUUGGAAAGGGUGAAGAGAUCUCCCUUCGAACAGUUCUUCAUUAGAGAGCAAUUAAAUUUUUCUGGUGCACUGAUCCAUUAGUUGUUUUUUCAUAAGAUUAGAUCUGAAAAGCCAGAUGAAGUCCACUUUUACAUUACGAAGAAAAAAUGUAAAUUAGCCAAGCUGAGUUUGCUUUGGUGAUUGGAUUGAAUUUUUUACCAAGACCGAUUGAAAAAAAGAUUAAAGAGAAGACAACCUCAAACUAGUUGAUUGUUGAGUAUUUCAAUGGUAGUACACCUAUCAUCUUUGGACAAUUACGCAGAAUGUUUGACAGUUGCACUGUAGUUGAUGAUGAGUUCAAGCUGGGACUGGCCUUGUUUGUUAUGGGUGUGCUGACUGGCCGUGAGGAGAAGACUAUCGUUCUAGCUUAUGCAAUGAGAAUGGUGAACGACCUUGAGUUCUUUUACCAGUACCCGUGGGGAAAGAUAUCGUUUCAGAAGUUGAUGUAAACUUGCAAUAAAGAUUUUAAAGAAAUGAAGAAGCAUUUGGAUAAGAAAAUUGAGAAGAAGAGAUCCAUUCAGAAGGAGGCAAAGUAUUCCACAUAUAGGUUUGCUGCAAUAUUGCAGUAUUGAGCUUAUGAGUCCAUUCUAGAGCUGAGUAUUGAUUUUGGUGUCAAGAAUUCGCAUGCCUUUCCAAGAAUAGUGAUCUGGGAGAAAAAUAGCAACGUUGAGAUGAACAAGGAAAUUAAAAAAUUAUUUGCGAGAAAUUUGUCAGUGUACUCCAUAUUAUGUUGUUGACCUACUGAAGAAGAAUAUUUGAGGACCGUUAAUGGAGCUAAGGUGACAUUGUUUGUGGACAUGGAGCAACUGGUGGUGGGCAAUGAAGGACAACCUACACAAGAAGCUAUGCGAAGCCAGACGGAGAAGCUUGUAGAGAAGUUGGUAGAGUAGGCGAAGGAAGCCAUAUUUUUUAAAGAGGAUUCAUGUAACGUCCUUGCUUGAAGCCUCCAUUGGACUUUCCUCCAUAUACUAAUGUCUCUUAUACAUGAGUACGUUACUCUAACUGCUUCCUAGAAUAACGAUUAGCCCUGUAAACUAACACGAGUAUAUCUAGCAUGCUUUGUCCUCACUCGCACACUUCUUGAGAAAACUUCCUAAGAGGUCACCAUGCCAAGAUUACUCCAGGUCAAAGCACACUUAACUUUGGAGUUCUCAAGUGAUGGGUCACCAGAAAACAAGAUGCACCUUAUUGAUAUAGGUAGUACCAAUCAAUCCAUUUAAGCCCUUUUUAACUAUGUAGUCCCAUACUUACACAGUCUCAGAAUCAUCACACUUGACCUUCCCCAGACAAUGUGGGAUUACACAACUCACCUAGUAUAUUUCUCUUUACUAAUCACAGAUAUUGACUUUAAAAACUCACCACCUCCACCAUCUCCACCACUAGAGGCACAUGAGGUUCCCCCUACAAUAUCUUAUCCUAGCACCUCAAAGGUUGAGCAAGCAAGAUACUUUGCUAUCUUCUCGAGGUUGAAGAAUGUUGAAAGGGAAUAGAGUGCUCUUUUGUAAGGCCAAGUUGAGAUUAUGGGUUAGUUCAAGACCCUAAUGACACUCAUGGAAGAGCUUAAACGACCAACUUCAGAGCCACAAUCACAGCCUCAGACUCCUGAAGAUGAAACCAUUCUUCUGAAUGAUUACAUACCAGAUGAUCCAGAUGAUGUAUUCUAUACACUUAAGAAUAUGAAGAUUACUAAUAUUGAAGAUACUCAGGAUUAUGAGUUCGAAGUGUUGAACAUAACUCCAUCAAGGUAACUUAAUUAGAAAUUCAUGUUUAUUGAGUAACUUGAUUAAAUUAUACAUAAAUUAUGUUAUGUUUUAUUUAAUCAGUGUUGAUUUACUAAUACAACGACAAUUGCAGAAUGUAUACAAUAAAGCAUAUUGAGCAUAAAAUUCUUUAACAACCUUUUGACAAUGUAAUUGAUCACAACAUGAAGCGGUUUAGAAAGAGAUGGUGUGCAGAAUUAUUCUACUAAAACUUAGCAUGAACUUUGGAUUUUUUAUUUUCUAUUUGGAACAAUGUACCUAUAAUAUAUUGUAAAUUGUUACUAGAAAAGUUAUAUUUCUUUUCUCUGGUAGUAGAAGCAUCAGGCAUAUGUCGUACCCAUAUCGUUCUAUAUCGGGCUAGAAAAAACAAGAAAAUUGAAUUAAAUAUCAGACCCCUUCGUCUGCUUUAUCA